GACGAACGCUGGCGGCGUGCCUAAUACAUGCAAGUAGAACGCUGAAGAGGGGAGCUUGCUCUUCUUGGAUGAGUUGCGAACGGGUGAGUAACGCGUAGGUAACCUGCCUUGUAGCGGGGGAUAACUAUUGGAAACGAUAGCUAAUACCGCAUAACAAUGGAUGACACAUGUCAUUUAUUUGAAAGGGGCAAUUGCUCCACUACAAGAUGGACCUGCGUUGUAUUAGCUAGUAGGUGAGGUAACGGCUCACCUAGGCGACGAUACAUAGCCGACCUGAGAGGGUGAUCGGCCACACUGGGACUGAGACACGGCCCAGACUCCUACGGGAGGCAGCAGUAGGGAAUCUUCGGCAAUGGGGGCAACCCUGACCGAGCAACGCCGCGUGAGUGAAGAAGGUUUUCGGAUCGUAAAGCUCUGUUGUAAGUCAAGAACGAGUGUGAGAGUGGAAAGUUCACACUGUGACGGUAGCUUACCAGAAAGGGACGGCUAACUACGUGCCAGCAGCCGCGGUAAUACGUAGGUCCCGAGCGUUGUCCGGAUUUAUUGGGCGUAAAGCGAGCGCAGGCGGUUUGAUAAGUCUGAAGUUAAAGGCUGUGGCUCAACCAUAGUUCGCUUUGGAAACUGUCAAACUUGAGUGCAGAAGGGGAGAGUGGAAUUCCAUGUGUAGCGGUGAAAUGCGUAGAUAUAUGGAGGAACACCGGUGGCGAAAGCGGCUCUCUGGUCUGUAACUGACGCUGAGGCUCGAAAGCGUGGGGAGCGAACAGGAUUAGAUACCCUGGUAGUCCACGCCGUAAACGAUGAGUGCUAGGUGUUGGAUCCUUUCCGGGAUUCAGUGCCGCAGCUAACGCAUUAAGCACUCCGCCUGGGGAGUACGACCGCAAGGUUGAAACUCAAAGGAAUUGACGGGGGCCCGCACAAGCGGUGGAGCAUGUGGUUUAAUUCGAAGCAACGCGAAGAACCUUACCAGGUCUUGACAUCCCGAUGCUAUUUCUAGAGAUAGAAAGUUACUUCGGUACAUCGGUGACAGGUGGUGCAUGGUUGUCGUCAGCUCGUGUCGUGAGAUGUUGGGUUAAGUCCCGCAACGAGCGCAACCCCUAUUGUUAGUUGCCAUCAUUCAGUUGGGCACUCUAGCGAGACUGCCGGUAAUAAACCGGAGGAAGGUGGGGAUGACGUCAAAUCAUCAUGCCCCUUAUGACCUGGGCUACACACGUGCUACAAUGGUUGGUACAACGAGUUGCGAGUCGGUGACGGCAAGCUAAUCUCUUAAAGCCAAUCUCAGUUCGGAUUGUAGGCUGCAACUCGCCUACAUGAAGUCGGAAUCGCUAGUAAUCGCGGAUCAGCACGCCGCGGUGAAUACGUUCCCGGGCCU
rnacentral:rRNA from 1 species